rnacentral:rRNA from 1 species
UACGAAGGGGGCUAGCGUUGUUCGGAAUUACUGGGCGUAAAGCGCGUGUAGGCGGGUCUUUUAAGUCAGGGGUGAAAUGCCAGGGCUCAACCUUGGAACUGCCUUUGAUACUGGAGACCUUGAGUCCGGGAGAGGUGAGUGGAAUUGCGAGUGUAGAGGUGAAAUUCGUAGAUAUUCGCAAGAACACCAGUGGCGAAGGCGGCUCACUGGCCCGGUACUGACGCUGAGGUGCGAAAGCGUGGGGAGCAAACAGGG